GUUCAUAUUCUGUUGCCACAGUGACAUUUGUUGAAUCUCAAUCUGCUAUUUUGGGAACUCUGAAAAAUAUGUUCAGAUGCUGUUCAACAGCCUGCAGGGAAAUCCAGUCAUGUGGAAGGGGAUGUUUUCUUCCACUUAGACUUUGCAGAGAAAAUCAGCCUUGAAGUGGAACUGAGCACAUGCUUUUCAGAAGCUGCAUCAUUCUGUACCCAGCCAGAGCAUUGGGCCUGACAACAGCUGGAUCCAGCAGAAAACUGGACACUCUAGUAGAUGUCAUGUGGAGAUGUGCCUGGCUGGACUAAUAGUCACAUGGAUACGAGUUUUAAAAAAAUCUCUCAGAGCUUUUCCAAAAUCAAAUAAUAUUCUUAAGUUGCUGUAGUAGAUGAAACAUUAGUUAGUGUCUUUUUAAU